rnacentral:rRNA from 1 species
GUCCACGCCCUAAACUAUGUCAACUGGUUGUCGGGAAGCAAUUCCUUGGUAACGAAGCUAACGCGUGAAGUUGACCGCCUGGGGAGUACGGCCGCAAGGUUAAACUCAAAGGAAUUGACGGGGACCCGCACAAGCGGUGGAUUAUGUGGAUUAAUUCGAUGCAACGCGAAAACCUUACCUACCCUUGACAUGUACGGAACCUCGCAGAGAUGUGAGGGUGCUCGAAAGAGAACCGUAACACAGGUGCUGCAUGGCUGUCGU